CAGAGUUUAGUUGCUGGGAACACUGAUGGAUGCUAGAAGAGUCUAACCCAAUCAAUCAGCCACUUACAAAGUGGACAGACAGAAGAAAUUGUUCUGGAAACUGGGUUCACCUGGCCAGUGGCUUCCUCAUAGUUUGGUGGUGGAUCAUAGUUGGACAGGCGAGUGGAGACAGAAUCUGAGCACCCAACUACAUAUUCCAGAAAGCCUGGAGACACUCCUUUGCUAUCAAACACUUCGUCUUGUGGUGGAGGAGGAGUGACAGUAUUAAGGUGCUCAGGGAAAGGAAUGUGGCCUUCAGUCACUGUCUACGAGCUUUGUUUCUUAGGAAGCAUCUCUAGAUUAGGAAAAUGACAAGGAGGACAAUGAAGAGGCCAAAGACUAAUGGAAAGGUAAGGUAAAACUGAAACCAGUCACUUCCUCCGUUACUCUCUCCUUGGUGUGCUUUUGUGUAGGUGUUCCAAAACUCCUUAGCUUUUUCAUUAUUUUCAAAAGCUUCUCUGGCUUCUUCGAAUGUGCACACUUCUUCUUUGCACUCACGUUCAAUAUUGCCCUGUCUGAUUUCUCCAAAAAGCAUAUUAGCUCUUCGGUAGCGUUUUAAUACAGAAUUGGCCUUUUCUUCUGUGAGGAAAACCCUCCCCAUGUUUUCUGGUGGCCUCAGGCAGGUCCUAGAUGAUGAUCCUCAGGUCAGUCUGCUCUGUUCCUUAAUCAGGUAUGAGCUAUUUGUGGGACUGUGGUUCUUCUCUUAUAAAAGGCUCCUUGGUGAAAUGUAGGGAGCCCCGGGAAACAUGGGUCCCACUCCUGCUAUCUCUU
rnacentral:lncRNA from 1 species